GGAUGAAGAACGUAGCGAAAUGCGAUAAGUAAUGUGAAUUGCAGAAUUCAGUGAAUCAUCGAAUCUUUGAACGCACCUUGCGCCCUUUGGCCAUUCCGAAGGGCAUGCCUGUUUGAGUAUCAUGAACACCUCAACUCUUCAUGGUUUUCCGUGAUGAGCUUGGACUUUGGGGGUCUUGCUGGCCUAUGGUCAGCUCCUCUAAAAUAAAUCAGCUUGCCAGUGUUUGCUGGGUAUCACAGGUGUGAUAACUAUCUACGCUUGUGGUUUUCCACCAGGUAACCUUCAGCAGUGGAGGUUCGCUGGAGCUCACAGAUGUGUCUCUCCUCAGUGAGGACAGCUCUUUGAAUGUUUGAUCUCAAAUCAGGUAGGACUACCCGCUGAACUUAAGCAUAUCAAUAAGCGGAGGA
rnacentral:misc_RNA from 1 species